UGAGUACGAGCUGCUACGGCAGCGAAUUGGGUGAUGUCAAGCUUCCAAGAAAAGCCCUAUACCCGUUAAGGCAUGAUGGCCUGUACCCGAAACCGACACAGGUGGGGUGGUAGAGAAUACCGAGGGGCGCGAGAUAACUCUCUCUAAGGAACUCGGCAAAAUGGCCCCGUAACUUCGGGAGAAGGGGUGCCACCGCAAGGUGGUCGCAGUGAAGAGGCCCAGGCGACUUUUUACCAAAAACACAGGUCUCCGCUAAGUCGCAAGACGAUGUAUGGGGGCUGACGCCUGCCCAGUGCCGGAAGGUUAAGGAAGCUGGUCAGCGCAAACGAAGCUAGCGACUGAAGCCCCGGUGAACGGCGGCCGUAACAAUAACGGUCCUAAGGUAGCGAAAUUCCUUGUCGGGUAAGUUCCGACCCGCACGAAAGGCGUAACGAUCUGGGCGCUGUCUCGGAGAGAGGCUCGGCGAAAUAGAAUUGUCUGUGAAGAUGCGGACUACGUGCACCCGGACAGAAAGACCCUAUGAAGCUUUACUGUAGCUUGGUAUUGUGCUCGGGCUCGGAAUGCGCAGGAUAGGUGGGAGGCUAUGAACCAUUGCUUGUGGGUGAUGGUGAGCCACUGGUGAGAUACCACUCUUUCCGAGCUAGAGUUCUAACAGCCACCCGUUAUCCGGGGGCUGGACAGUAUCAGGUGGGCAGUUUGACUGGGGCGGUCGCCUCCUAAAAGGUAACGGAGGCGCGCAAAGGUUUGCUCAGGCUGGUUGGAAAUCAGCCGACGAGUGUAAAAGCAGAAGCAAGCUUGACUGUGAGACCUACAAGUCGAACAGGGAGGAAACUCGCUUUAGUGAUCCGACGGUUCUGCGUGGAAGGGCCGUCGCUCAACGGAUAAAAGUUACUCUAGGAUAACAGGCUGAUCUCCCCCAAGAGUUCACAUCGACGGGGAGGUUUGGCACCUCGAUGUCGGCUCAUCGCAACCUGGGGCUGAAGUCGGUCCCAAGGGUUGGGCUGUUCGCCCAUUAAAGCGGUACGCGAGCUGGGUUCAGAACGUCGUGAGACAGUUCGGUCCAUAUCCGGUGCAUGCGCAGGAAUAUUGAGAGGAUUUCUCCCUAGUACGAGAGGACCGGGAGGAACGCACCUCUGGUGUACCAGUUAUCGUGCCAACGGUAAACGCUGGGUAGCCAUGUGCGGAGAGGAUAACCGCUGAAAGCAUCUAAGUGGGAAGCCCACCUCAAGAUGAGUAUUCCCAUGGGGUAACCCAGUAAGGUCACGGGAAGAACACCCGUUGAUAGGCUCUACGUGGAAGCGCAGUAAUGUGUGAAGCGGAGGAGUACUAAUAGACCGAGGGCUUGACC
rnacentral:rRNA from 1 species